CGGAGCGGGGGGAGCGGCUUCUCCUGCCCGCCCCUUCCUUCGGUGCCUGGAGCCGCGCUCGCCGCUGCCCGGGCUGCCUCAGGGACCUCCCGCCUGAAGGGAGCGCUUAGCCCGCCAGCUCCAUAGAGAGGAAGCUCCGUGCUUCCAGGCGGUUUUCCAGGUCUUCGGGAUGGUUUGUUGGCGUUUUCCGCCGCCGGGACGAGGGACGGAAGAGCUGCCGCCAUAUCUCCUUCCCGCCCAGCCCGGCUGAGGGGAGCGGGAGCACCCGCGGGCACCGGACCCUGAAAAUGAGCGUUUGAAGGGCUACGGCCAUGCAAGUAACUUUACCAACAGAAUCAAAGUGAACUGCCAGAAACACCUUAAAUAUUGUUUUCCUGACAACUCAGCUCUUGGAUCUGAGGGCAGCACCAGGUAAGCACCAGAGUCAGCAGAAGGAAGGGGCCUUCUUGAGCCUGGUGGCUGACCUUGAGUCACUCCUGCUCUUGUGCAGAACGGAAUACUCCAAAUUCCUUUUACUGCAUACAUUUUUUUUUUCAAAACUAGAGAUUUUAACCUGAGAUUAAAUUAGCAGAAGUGUAACUGCCUUAUCAUCAGCCUCCUGUGCUUUGCUUUCUCCUGACCUUUCUUCUCUCCCUGUGCUAUUCCAGCAAGGUUGUUUUAUCCCCAGGAGGCCUAUUCCUUUCCCUUGACUGUGAAGCUCCUCAUCUGGAAAUAUUUGCUCUGGUAAAGUGCCAACACUGCUCUAGAGGAGUCACUCACAGAAAUGAAAGACAGGGGCAAAAUAAAAUUCUUAAUCCAAAUUUAGGACUGGAUUAAGAAUUUGAGAACAGACACUUUCCAAAAUUCCUGUCCCAACACUGAACUAACAGUCCUGUCUUUAACAUAAAGAUGGGAGUGCACUUGUAUCAGUGAGCUCGAGGCUGGAAUGGUGCUGGAAACCACUGAAAGCAAAAGAACUAAGUUAACCCACCUUUAAAGUUUCAGCACUUGUCUUCCAUUGCUCUCUUAGCAUUUUUAACUUUUUAACAAGGUUCUCAUUUAACUAGACCCCAAGAAGCCAAAUUCAAUUAGUUUCAAUUAGUUUGAUUUACCCCAAAUAGCGGACAAUAUACUCAGAAUUUGGCUGCAUUAGGCAAAAAAUGUGACAUGGAAGUACAGAAAAGGCAUUUCUGAGCAUGACAGUGCCACCAGCAACUGAACCACCUUACCAGAGAGUCCAGGCAGCUUCUCUUGGACAGUCUGUAAACAUCAAGACUCAGAAAAAAGCUGAGCCACUAUUUAAAAAAAAAAUUAGAUUUAAAAUGCGUUCACAACACAAAAACCCCAGACCCCCAUUGAUACACAUUGAUGGGGCACCUGGAAGAGAGACUUGCCAGUGUAUCUUCUAGGAAAAAGUGUUGUUCAGCUUUUAACUCACAAAUAAAAGUAAAAAAUCUGAGUGUGUGGUUUUUAUUCAUACUCUUUUAACUUCCCAAAUCUUCCUCGUCCAUCCCAUCUCUGCUUGUUCCCACUGACAGCACAAACAGGGAGUGAGAAACACAGACCAACAGCAGCACAGGGGGCAGGUUUGUACAUCUGAAAUCUGGGAUUUCAUGUGCUUUGGGUACUUCAGGAGCACUGUGAAUCCUCUGCUGGAAUGGCCAGGCCUUUUCCCAAGGGAAUCCUGCUGACCCUAAAUCAGCAGGAUUGGACAAUGAAGGAUCUCCUGAGGCUGCAAGUCCUAAAGUAAGUUCAGUCUCAACAACCCAAGUGCAGAGGGGCCUUCCUGAUGGGCACCUGAAGGGAGGGGCACAUUCUUUUCCUCAUUUUUGGCACCAAAAGGGUUUUUAAAGAGCAUUUCAGUUGGGAGACAAACCCAGUGAGUGAGGAGAAAGGGAGUAAGUGUAGACAGACAUACCUUCCAGCAAAUCCCAACAGCACCCCAGGCAUCUGGAUCAGCAAUAAUCAUUGACCCAGUGCUCAAUGGACUGGGGGUCAGUCUGGCCCCUCAUCAGCACCAAGGGGACUCCCUCACCUCAGGCAGCCUCUUCAGCCAUCAUUUUCAGCAUCUUUUCCUUGUUUUUUCCCCCUUAGGCUCAAAUUUUCUUGCUUUCCAGUGCCAAGAACUCUCAGAAGUAACUAAAGCUUCCUGCAGAGAUAAGCGUUUCUAAAGCUUUUUUUUGUUUUUUGCAUAAAUAUUAGCUUUAUUGGAAAAUAGUUCACUUAAACCAAUCAGAUUAACACACACCAAAUUAUUCUAGUUUAAAAAAAAAACCAAAA